rnacentral:rRNA from 1 species
CCUACGGGUGGCAGCAGUGAGGAAUAUUGGUCAAUGGACGAGAGUCUGAACCAGCCAAGUAGCGUGAAGGAUGACUGCUCUAUGGGUUGUAAACUUCUUUUAUAAAGGAAUAAAACGAGGCACGUGUGCCUUUUUGCAUGUACUUUUUGAAUAAGGAUCGGCUAACUCCGUGCCAGCAGCCGCGGUAAUACGGAGGUUCCGAGCGUUAUCCGGAUGUAUUGGGUUGAAAGGGAGCGUAGAUGGGUUGUUAAGUCAGUUGUGAAAGUUUGCGGCGCAACCGUAAAAUUGCAAUUGAUACUGGCAGUCGUGAGUACAGUUGAGGUAGGCGGAAUUCGUGGUGUAGCGGUGAAAUGCUUAGAUAUCACGAAGAACCCCGAUGGCGAAGGCAGCUUACUAAACUGUGACUGACAUUGAUGCUCGAAAGUGUGGGUAUCAAACAGGAUUAGAUACCCGAGUAGUC